CAUUCUGUUGACACAAUUGAGUUAUUUUUCUCACAGCAAGUCGAUGCGUGAAUAUCAGUUUAUCUAUUCAUUCAGUUUAUCAUUAUCUAUUUCUCAGCCGUUCGUGUUCUUUGCUUGAACAUUUUCAAGUUCCCCUACACACAAUGGACCGCUGCCUAGCCUAUCCCACGCCCCAUAAAGACCAACCCACCGAUGAUGCAGGUUAGAGAACUUUCCCUGUCAGUUGCAGCCAUAGAAUUCCAUCCCUCUGAUCACACGGGGCACAGACAGUUACAAGAGCUGAAUUGAAACUGAUGUGCGAAGCUACAGCAUCGUGCGCACAUUUACCAUACCAAUGUGGAGGUCGACUCGUCUUUAGUACAUUGCUGAUUGUCCAUCUUAUUGACUAAUCAUCAUCGAUGCUGGCUGAGUGAAAAUCACUUGCCUGUUUUGUGGAUUGCGCUCUGACGGCUAGUUCAUUGUAGGCUAUCCUGGUGCUCUCCAUCCGACGGACGCACAACAAGAGCUGGCUUGGAUAAGCGAUAGUUUGAAGAUGACUACCAAACCAGAAAAGGAGAAUGAAUUGAAUCACGAGUAUACAAAUCACGAGGAGGAGGUCAGGACACUAUUUGUCAGCGGGCUGCCCCUGGACAUCAAGCCGAGGGAGCUCUACCUUCUCUUCAGACCAUUCAAGGGUUAUGAAGGCUCCUUAAUAAAGCUUACCUCAAAACAGCCGGUGGGGUUUGUCAGCUUUGACAGUCGAUCAGAGGCCGAGGCGGCGAAGAACGCCCUGAACGGAGUCCGCUUUGACCCGGAGAUUCCCCAGACCCUGCGUCUGGAGUUCGCCAAAGCCAACACCAAGAUGGCCAAGAGUAAGCUCGUGGGCACCCCUAACCCUCCCCCAUCCCAGCAGAGCCCUGGACCCCCCUUCAUCAGCAGAGACCCCUAUGAGCUCACAGUCCCUGCCCUCUACCCGGGCAGCCCCGACGUGUGGGCGUCCUACCCUCUCUACCCCGCCGAGCUGUCGCCCGCCCUCCCACCCGCUUUCACGUACCCCUCCUCGCUGCACGCUCAGAUCCGCUGGCUUCCCCCGGCAGAUGGCAGUCCCCAGGGCUGGAAGUCCCGACAGUUCUGCUGAAAAAUGUGUUCCUUUUGUGUGAUGGUGGCUAGGACUGGCCUUGAUGGAGUGUUGAGUGGCUUCAGCCGUCCUACCAGGGAGGUACCAGACCUCUCUACCCUUACAGUGGACCACUGGUAAAAACACCUCCCUGGAUUUCUGGACACUCAAGACCCCUUCUGCCUCCAUCACACAAGAUUAUCCUCUCUACCUCCCUCUCUCACUCACUCCCUCUCUCUCUCUCCGUCCCUCCCCCUCCUCUUCCUCCUCCUCUCCUCUUCCUUUCUUCCCCCCUUCUUUUUUUAUUCUACUGUUACGCGCCAGAAGUCGUCCUGGUAACGGCUCCUUCGACGGGCCCUGCCGUAUAAGACCGACGGUCUCUACGAGCCCCAAGCCUUAACACCCUCCUAAGCAAAGCUGUGAUGUUCACGUUGGUGCAGGUGUGCAGUUAGUGUGUGUGUGUGUGUGCCUGCGCGCGCGUGUGUGUGUGUCUGUGUGUGUCCGACCCAUAGGUGUAAGAUGCUUACGAAGGUGUUAAGGGCCGGAGGGACCCAAUCAUGUUUUAUAGUGCUCAUGUGAGCGCGGCCUCUCAGCGAGGCGAAGACUGACGGACCUGUAAAAUUUUAACCAAAGGAGCUUAUGAAAAUCAACAUUGUGUCGCUAGGAGUACAAAGCACGUACCGUGUGGUAUGCAGUGUGCGAUUUAUCAUGGCAGUGUGUGUGUGUGUGUGUGUGUGUGUGUGUGUGUGUGUGUUGUGUAUGUGUGGUUUAUUUUGGUCUGAAGGGUAUCCUACAGAACAGUGAAUAGUGGUGAUGUUGUUUUUUACCAAAACACACAAGUAAACAUUGAGAUUCAUAAGACAAGCAAGACAAUCCCAAUCCCUCAGCUGGGUCUGAAGACAGCAGAUAAUUCACUUCAUUGCAUACACACACACUCUGUUUCUCUCUCUCUCUCUCUCUCUCUCUCUCUCUCUCUCUCUCUCUCUCUCUCUCUCUCUCUGUGUGUCUCUAUCUCUCUCUCUCUCUCUCACACACACACACACACACACACACACACACACACACACACACACACACACAAUUAAACACUGUGAUUAAAAACUGAGAGUAGCCCCUGUCUGCCCUAGUUCAUUUCCUCCCACUCCACCCCCCCGGAAAACAAAAUGGAGUGUCAAGUCUACCGACAUGUUUGAUUCAUCUAGUAGACAGAGGUCGGUGAAUAUUAUCCGGUUCAGUGUAGUUUUGAAUACCAAGGAAUGUGACGUAAACUAGCUGUCAUAAGAUGUGGUUCUAAUCAGUAGACUGAUGGUUAUUUUGAAAGGGAUUAGGCCCAUAGCAACGUGUGCACCAUAUGCCAAGCUCCUUUCAUUAAAAUGUUACUGAAUUAUUAUUAUUCUUGUUGUCAUAAUUAUUAUUAUUAUUAACCUAUAUAUAUAAAUAAAUAAAUAAAAAACAAUAUUAUUAAGGUUAUUAUGAUCAAGGUUGACGCAUGACUUGCCAAAAUAAAAUGAAAAAAAAAAAAAAGAUUACAAUGCUGUACAUUUUUAGAUAUUUUGAAGAGGAAUAUAGAAGUAUUUUUAUAAUCAAGUGAUGAUCAUUUUCAAAGCUUCAUGUUUGAUCUAUUAAUAUUCCUGUCGAGUGUGUGUGUGUGUGUGCCUGAGGAUCUUUGGUUUUGAAAAUUCUGGAUGCUCUUACAUUGUCUCUCCUUCAUGGUAACAUAAAUGCCUUCGAUUGAUGUAUUGAAAUCGGUUCAAAUCUCUGUGUCGUUUUUACUGGUGAUUUACUGUGACAAUCAAGAGUGAAUCCCUUCGCUUGCCAUAUAUUGUGACACCUCGGUGGAUUUCUCCAUUCAAGGCACAAUUCACCCAUUUACAAAGUCUAUAAAACUGCCCCUAUUCCUGGAAUAAGAGAGACGUGAUUUCUCAGAGACAUGGUAGAGUUCAUGUCAUUUUAAAUCUGGAGAUAUAUAUAUAUAUAUAAAAAAAUAAGAGAGCAGACUGGGUUUGCGGUUCGAGACAGUACUGCCUGUCAGCAUGUUGACGUAAAUGGUCAUGCCCCAUUUGUGAUGUGGUCAUGCUAGCAUUAUGACAGGAGAGAUCAAGAGACAAGUCGCAUUCCCAUCCACACUACAGUGGCGUGUCUGUCAGAGCUAGCAUCUGUUAGCGCUAGCGUCUGUAACGGAAGGGGGUGAACAGGUCCAGGAUGAAAUCUGACCGGUGAAGUCAUUCUCUGGGGGGGGGGGGGGAAACACAUCACCGUGUCAUACAUAAGCCAUCGUUCCCUCCGUCACGGACGCGAGCCAGUAUUUUUCUGCAUGACUUCAAGUGUCUUCAAGUCUUCUUUUAGAAAACUGAUGCCCUUGUACCUCGAGAAGACAUGGCUUUGAUUAAGUUUUUUUUGUGUGGUCUAUUUUUGUCAUUAAGAACAUUCAACCCAGUUUUGUAAAUGUUACUGUUCUUGAAUGGAUGACUGCUAUAAGAAUAUAAAUACAUAACUUCAAACAUG